AACCAUUUGCGGGUUUGUCCUAUUGUCAGGGUCGUGCUGGAGCCAGGGAAACGCGGGGACCAGGAGUUUCUUCAAACAUAGACUUUUAUUCGAAAUCAGGAACACAUGAAUGCAGGACCAACGGAACACAAGAAUGACAAUUAACAACCGACACGGAGACAGGGAAACACAGGGCUUAUAAACACAAGGAAAUCAAGGGAGGAGAACUGAAACAGAAUUGGCCCAGACUUCUUCAGUGUCAAGUGAAGGAAGCUCCUCUCAUAAGAUUGCAGACUGGGAGAUGAAGCCAGAAUUAAGCCAAGUUCCUGGCUUUUCCCAAGACCUUCAAGGACACAACUGACCUCGGAAUCAGCUGUAAAGGAGGACGAAACCAAUGUUUAAGAACGGGACGGCGAUAUUGCAUCAGUUUGUCUCCUUCAUUUGAUUCCACCAUCACCACAAGGCUGCGAGGGACCUGGAGAAAUGUCCUCCUAUCAAGCUGAAAAACAUCUUCAAAAAGGCACUAAUAAGAAGAAUACCUUGUAGAGACCACACAGCCGUACCUGCUCGCUGAUGGGACAACGAGGAACAGCGUUCAUGGAUGCUACACAACUGUCAACAAGUAUUUUGCUGCAGUCUUGUUCAAAUCUACCUGUCAUAUUUGUUAAUGUCUAGGUAAAUUCGAUGAUUUUGUGUUUUAUUAACUAUUUUAUGUUUCCGUGCAACACUUAAUGAAUGUGACUGACUAAUUAACCUCUACACAUCUGGUAUAUGCUUUAAAGUUGCCAC